rnacentral:rRNA from 1 species
AUUGAACGCUGGCGGCAGGCUUAACACAUGCAAGUCGAGCGGGGUGAUGGUGCUUGCACUAUCACUUAGCGGCGGACGGGUGAGUAAUGCUUAGGAAUCUGCCUAUUAGUGGGGGACAACACCUCGAAAGGGAUGCUAAUACCGCAUACGUCCUACGGGAGAAAGCAGGGGAUCACUUGUGACCUUGCGCUAAUAGAUGAGCCUAAGUCGGAUUAGCUAGUUGGUGGGGUAAAGGCCUACCAAGGCGACGAUCUGUAGCGGGUCUGAGAGGAUGAUCCGCCACACGGGGACUGGGAAACGGCCCAGACUCCUACGGGAGGCAGCAGUGGGGAAUAUUGGACAAUGGGGGGAACCCUGAUCCAGCCAUGCCGCGUGUGUGAAGAAGGCCUUAUGGUUGUAAAGCACUUUAAGCGAGGAGGAGGCUCUUUUGGUUAAUACCCAAGAUGAGUGGACGUUACUCGCAGAAUAAGCACCGGCUAACUCUGUGCCAGCAGCCGCCGUAA